rnacentral:rRNA from 1 species
GACGAACGCUGGCGGCGUGCCUAAUACAUGCAAGUAGAACGCUGUUGCUCACGGUUGAGUAACGCGUAUCUAACUGCCUGGUAGCGGGGGUUAACUAUUGGAAACGAUAGCUAAUACCGCAUACUUCCAGUUGGACCUUCGUUGUAUUAGCUAGUUGGUGGGGUAACGGCUCACCAAGGCAACGAUACAUAGCCGACCUGGGAGGGGUAUCGGCCACACUGGGACUGAGACACGGCCCAGACUCCUACGGGGGGCAGCAGUAGGGAAUCUUCGGCAAUGGACGGAAGUCUGACCGAGCAACGCCGCGGGAGUGAAGAAGGUUUUCGGAUCGUAAAGCUCUGUUGUAAGAGAAGCGGUAUCUUAAGAGAAAGGGACGGCUAACUACGUGCCAGCCGCCGCGGUAAUUC